UACAGAGGUCUCAAGCGUUGUUCGGAUUCAUUGGGCGUAAAGGGUGUGUAGGUGGCGCCGUUAGUCGGGUGUGAAAUUUCGGAGCUUAACUCCGAAACUGCAUUCGAUACUGCGGUGCUUGAGGACUGGAGAGGAGACUGGAAUUCAUGGUGUAGCAGUGAAAUGCGUAGAGAUCAGGAAGAACAUCGGUGGCGAAGGCGCUCUGCUGGACCAUAACUGACACUCAGGGACGAAAGCUAGGGGAGCGAAUGGG
rnacentral:rRNA from 1 species